UACAGAGGCCACAAGCGUUAGACGGAAUCACUGGGCUUAAAGCGUGUGUAGGCGGGAUGGUAAGUACCUUAUGAAAUCCCACAGCUUAACUGUGGAAAUGCUUGGUAUACUGCCGUUCUUGAGUCACCUAGGGGCAGCUGGAACAGAUGGUGGAGCGGUGAAAUGCAUAGAUAUCAUCUGGAACGCCAAUGGUGCAGACAAGCUGCUGGGGGUGUACUGACGCUGAGGCACGAAAGCCAGGGGAGCAAACGGGG
rnacentral:rRNA from 1 species